rnacentral:rRNA from 1 species
UACGUAGGGCGCAAGCGUUGUCCGGAAUUAUUGGGCGUAAAGAGCUCGUAGGCGGUUUGUCGCGUCUGCUGUGAAAACCUAAGGCUCAACCUUGGGCUUGCAGUGGGUACGGGCAGACUAGAGUGCGGUAGGGGUGACUGGAAUUCCUGGUGUAGCGGUGGAAUGCGCAGAUAUCAGGAGGAACACCGAUGGCGAAGGCAGGUCACUGGGCCGCAACUGACGCUGGAGGGAGCGAAA